rnacentral:rRNA from 1 species
AGUGAACGCUGGCGGUAGGCCUAACACAUGCAAGUCGAGCGGCAGCACAGUAAGAGCUUGCUCUUACGGGUGGCGAGUGGCGGACGGGUGAGGAAUACAUCGGAAUCUACUUUUUCGUGGGGGAUAACGUAGGGAAACUUACGCUAAUACCGCAUACGACCUACGGGUGAAAGCAGGGGAUCUUCGGACCUUGCGCGAUUGAAUGAGCCGAUGUCGGAUUAGCUAGUUGGCGGGGUAAAGGCCCACCAAGGCGACGAUCCGUAGCUGGUCUGAGUGGAUGAUCAGCCACACUGGAACUGAGACACGGUCCAGACUCCUACGGGAGGCAGCAGUGGGGAAUAUUGGACAAUGGGCGCAAGCCUGAUCCAGCCAUACCGCGUGGGUGAAGAAGGCCUUCGGGUUGUAAAGCCCUUUUGUUGGGAAAGAAAAGCAGCAGGUUAAUACCCCGCUGUUCUGACGGUACCCAAAGAAUAAGCACCGGCUAACUUCGUG